rnacentral:rRNA from 1 species
GACGAACGCUGGCGGCGUGCCUAAUACAUGCAAGUCGAGCGGAUCUGAUGAAGUGCUUGCACUUCUGAUGGUUAGCGGCGGACGGGUGAGUAACACGUAGGCAACCUGCCUGCAAGCCCGGGAUAACAUUCGGAAACGAAUGCUAAGACCGGAUACGCAGCUUGGUCGCAUGACUGAGCUGGGAAAGACGGAGCAAUCUGUCGCUUGUAGAUGGGCCUGCGGCGCAUUAGCUAGUUGGUGAGGUAACGGCCCACCAAGGCGACGAUGCGUAGCCGACCGGAGGGGGUGAACGGCCACACUGGGACUGAGACACGGCCCAGACUCCGGCGGGAGGCAGCAGUAGGGAAUCUUCCACAAUGGACGCAAGUCUGAUGGAGCAACGCCGCGUGAGUGAGGGAGGCCUUCGGGUCGUAAAGCUCUGUUGCCAGGGAAGGACGCCUAGGAGAGUAACUGCUCUUAGGGUGACGGUACCUGAGAAGAAAGCCCCGGCUAACUACGUGCCAGCAGCCGCCGUAAGAC